rfam:Cephalotus follicularis DNA, scaffold: scaffold534, isolate: St1.
AAACCAUGAUGAGGACACUCUAAGAGGAGGUCUUUGAAACGUUCCAUACACCUAGAAAAUGAUUCAUUGGGUCACUGGCGAAACUGAAAAAUAUCGUUCCUAAGCUU